GAUGAACGCUGGCGGCGUGCCUAAUACAUGCAAGUCGAGCGAACAGAUAAGGAGCUUGCUCCUUUGACGUUAGCGGCGGACGGGUGAGUAACACGUGGGUAACCUACCUAUAAGACUGGGAAAACUUCGGGAAACCGGAGCUAAUACCGGAUAAUAUUUCGAACCGCAUGGUUCGAUAGUGAAAGAUGGUUUUGCUAUCACUUAUAGAUGGACCCGCGCCGUAUUAGCUAGUUGGUAAGGUAACGGCUUACCAAGGCGACGAUACGUAGCCGACCUGAGAGGGUGAUCGGCCACACUGGAACUGAGACACGGUCCAGACUCCUACGGGAGGCAGCAGUAGGGAAUCUUCCGCAAUGGGCGAAAGCCUGACGGAGCAACGCCGCGUGAGUGAUGAAGGUCUUCGGAUCGUGAAACUCUGUUAUUAGGGAAGAACAUACGUGUAAGUAACUGUGCACGUCUUGACGGUACCUAAUCAGAAAGCCACGGCUAACUACGUG
rnacentral:rRNA from 1 species